CGCCCCUCCACGCUUCUGCCUUGACCCUCACCACGCCCGCCAACCCGCCCCGCCUCCCCUUCAACGCGCCACUCCCUCCCCCACCACUCCGUGCCACGCCCGCUCUCCACGCCCUGCCCCCGUGGGAAUGUGCAAUGGGGCGGGCAGCGCGCCUUGAGGCUGGCGCCCUGGUAGGGGUGGGCUGACCAGCCUGAUGGGGGCUGAGACUGCCUGGAACCCAAACGGAAGCUCCCUGGCCUAUGUUUGAAACCGUGAAUUCACCGGCUAGAAUGGAAAUGCCAGGUACCUGGGAACCUGGAAGUUGCCUUUUCAAUGCUGCCUUUCCCGUUCUCCCCUCCAUCCCUCUGGCUGCAACGAUCCUCCCUCUGGAACCCCUGGUCAGGCUCACUUCAGAGUGCCCCUUGGACCCUGCCUGGCUGAACCAUCCACACCUUGGUCAGGCAUCUUGGAAGGACUGCCCCAGCCGUGUUAUAAAAGGAGAAAACGUCACAGUGGGCAGCCCCAUUCCUGCGUUAUCCAGACAGGAAACUCAGGUGCUCAGGUCAGUGAUGCCCCCCCAAGCUGCUUUGGGGACCACACCCACACCGCUUCUCUGACGGCCCACACAGGCUGGUUCACCGCAUCCUUGUCCCACUGUGGGCCUCUUGACCUAAUCAACACAGGCAACAGGACCAGAAGUUCCCAGCAGUACCCCCAAAAUGUUAGGGAAGUUUGUGUAGGAAGGUGUUACACAACUUCAGCAUUUCUGCUCUACAAUGCAGCUCCUUUGGAACCACUUUUAACAUCCCUUUUUAAAUAUCCCUUUGGAACCGAGUUUAAUAAUUUGUUGCUGUUGGGAGUUACAAUAAUUCUGUUAAGUCAUUUUCCCAUUUAGUUUCUCUGAUAAUUCCGAGUUCUACAUUACUACCUGCCUCUCAGAUGAGUGCUGGCAGCCCCAGUUCUGUACAGGGAGGAUGCAAAACGGCAGAAUAUCUGUGGUGCAACUUUCUGGAGCAUCAGUUUACUACAAGAUUUGGAAGAAUAAGUUAAGUAAUUUCCAAGGUGCUGGAGAUAGUCCUGAACAGCACAGCUUAGGGUCCUGUGCCAUGAAGGAGCCUACACACUAGUCCUGGGAGAUGAGACAAGCAACAAGCAAGUAAAUCCUGGAAAGAUCAAGGUCACUUCAGAUGGUGAUGAAGCAGAGUCAUGUGAUUGAGAGAGCCCACAGGUAGGAGGUACACAGGAAGAAUGAAACCGUGAGGGUGGGAGCCCAUCUGAGUGCUGUGGCUGCCAGCCUGGAAAAGUGACUGAUGGGGAGAAAGGUAUCAGAACUAUGUGUUAGAUCUGUGGGAAAGAAGUACAACACAGAGCUGCUAAAACUAUGAAAGACUUAAUGGGUAUACAAUACUGAGAACCAGUUAGAUCCAUCGACUCUGACCCUAAAUGUGGCCCUAAGGUAAACUGGUUGAAGAAAUUGGAUCCUAAAGAUUACAGGUGGAGAAUUUUUAAAGGAUGUCCAUAUUCGAGGGAAGACCAAAGAAUCCCAACUGAAAGAAUUGUGAACUGACUGACAUGAUAGCCACGGAUUGAGCACAAUUUCUUUUUAAAAGGGCUGUCUUGAAGAUUAUGACUCAAACUUUGGAGGAACUAAGGAGGAGAGGAGCCCAUUUCCUUAGUUUCCCUCAAAUGCACUCCCCCAGCAAGUCUAUGUAAUUGUGAUAGACUGGUUAUUUGUGGAAAGAAACAGAAGUUUUAUUGCAUCUGCUUCAAACUUCAUAACGGUCAUCUCUGUUCCAACUGACAUUGGCCAUGCCCGCCUGGGGGUCAGCUGUCCACACUGUCCUCGUGGCCUUCAGCGCUGCUGCACUCUCUCUGACUCCUUCUUUCCUCUCUCUCCACCACCUUGGCCCCCAUCUUGGGGUUGUCACAGGAAGCUCCAGAUCAACCGUGCCCAC
ensembl:lncRNA